CAGCCAGAAGCACGGAGACGGCACUAGCAGCUGAAGCAGACAUAUUACUAAAUGAGUUGAUAACUAGCAAAACUAAAACUAGUGGUUUGUAUAAAUUUAAGCAGAAGUCUGGGUGUGAGGUGACCUACCGGAUCUACGGACGUGUGCGCCAGGAGUUUUAACAACUGUUGGCAGCGUCUUGGCUAGGUUUUGGAGAUUCCCUGGAGAAAACCCCUAGAUUUGAAUGUGGAUUCAGAUUCUCCUUGAUGAAGGAGAUGGCGAGCCAACUGUGAAACUGAGCAUCCGAGGAGCUGGAGUGACAUCACUCUUGCCCCAAGGAGGAAACCCACCUUCCUGUCUUUUCCCCUUUCACCUCUGUGUGCCCCAAGAUUCCAGUGGGUUGAUCAGGCUGAAGUGUGCUAUCAGGGCAGUUGAUGAGCAGAUUCAGGCUGAGGAUGGAUCUCUUUGGCUCCGCGACACUUGUGACAAUCAUUCAGGACUCAUAACCUCCUGCUGACAUACUGCCCAAUUACUCGAGGCAGAAUGACAGAGAGGAGCUGAAGACGGUGAAAAUGGGAGAAUGUUUUGGUGCUGUGACCAGAGUUCAGAUGUGUUUUAGCUCCUGAAGUAGGAAAGCUGAGAACACUCAGGGGGACUGUUUCUACUCACAGAUAGGUACCAAAGAUAAUGCAUUAUAUUCCUUUAGA